UCGUUGUAUCGGACUUGAAAAAUCCGCCGUGCCGGCCCAUACUAUGGAUACGGUUGUAAUUCCGGCGAGCUGGAGACGUUCUGGACGCGGGUUCGACUCCCGCCACCUCCACCCAAGCGCAUUCGGCCCGAGUGCGCUCGGCUGGGGGUGUACCUGGAUUCGACAGGGCGAGUGAAGGCGAGCAGGCAACCCGAAAGGCGACGGACGUAAUCCGCGCAAAACCACAAACGCCAAUGAUGAGCGUUUCGCACUGGCCGCCUAAGGCCGCUGCCGAGGCCGCUUGAGCCUUGUCACCCAAGAAAAGCCGGCGGGGACUUCGGUCCCCGUCGUCA
rnacentral:tmRNA from 1 species